GAGACUCAGUGAAUGCUCUCUCUGUCUCUAUGCCGGCCCCGUUGGAUAUAAGCAGUGGCGCAAAUGAGGGUAUUUUCCCUCAUUCUCGCCCUGCAGCUGGUCAUCUGUAUGCUAAGAGAGCGAACGCUUGGCAACAGCCCAACCCGUCUGGUCAAGCAGCUGACAGAGAACCACAUUGAGGAGUGGUUGGACCGCCUAGCUGACUAAUUUGGGGAAUGUGCUGCUUUUGUGGACAAGCCCAGCCUCUUCCCAGUGGCCUGUAGGAGCCCCCAGAGCCUCUUGAUGUCCCCACCAGCCGAUGGCUACUGUCUAUUUAUGGAUGGGACAUCAUCAGGCGUAUGGACCACAUCAAGGCCAGAAUUACCUCCACAUUUGGGUCCAUUUUAAAAAUUGACUCCACCAAGAAGUUUAUUUCAUAGAACCAGCUGUAUCUCCUGGAAGGCCUGAACAGGUGGAAUCAGGACCGAGCUGUUGCAUCCCUCUCCACCAAACCCUCCUUACUGCUGAGCUACGCUGGGGACGUGGUUCAGUGUGUGAACAAAAACAGCAUGAAGUUGUUUGGCCUGAAAUAUGUGUCCUCUUUCCGCCCCCCUACAAAAUACACUGGAGAGCUGAUAGGCAUGGACUAUCUGCUCCUUCAGACAGGGCAGCCUUUGCGGAGGGUGGACCCCGACACAGAGUAGACUGAUCAGCUGCUGGAGGACCUGGCGGUGGACUGUGAGGAGGAGGAGGAUUCAUUAUAAUCUAAUGUGUCAUCCUUUACUUAGUUGUUAUAUAGUGUAUUAGCCAAUUAUUUUGUUAAAGUUUGUUAAAUCCGUUCUGCACUCGUGUGUAUGUUUCUAUGUGUCCUCAAGAAUAAAUUUAAAAUCUUGUGUGG
ensembl:lncRNA